UACGGGGUGAGCAAGCGUUGUUCGGAUUUACUGGGCGUAAAGGGCGCGUAGGCGUUAGCACAAGUCAGUUGUGAAAUCUCCGGGCUUAACUCGGAAAGGUCAACUGAUACUGGGCGACUAGAGUGCAGAAGGGGCACCUGGAAUUCUCGGUGUAGCGGUGAAAUGCGUAGAUAUCGAGAGGAACACCUGCGGCGAAGGCGGGUUGCUGGGCUGACACUGACGCUGAGGCGCGAAAGCCAGGGGAGCGAACGGG
rnacentral:rRNA from 1 species